rnacentral:rRNA from 1 species
GUUGUAGUCUGGAGAAGUGCUUUCCGCGCCGGACCGUGUACAAGUCUCUUGGAAUAGAGCGUCAUAGAGGGUGAGAAUCCCGUCUUUGACACGGACUACCGGUGCUUUGUGAUGCGCUCUCAAAGAGUCGAGUUGUUUGGGAAUGCAGCUCAAAAUGGGUGGUAAAUUCCAUCUAAAGCUAAAUAUUGGCGAGAGACCGAUAGCGAACAAGUACCGUGAGGGAAAGAUGAAAAGCACUUUGGAAAGAGAGUUAAACAGUACGUGAAAUUGCUGAAAGGGAAACGCUUGAAGUCAGUCGCGUCGUGCAGAACUCAACCUUGCUUUCGCUUGGUGCACUUUCUGUACGACGGGCCAGCAUCAAUUUUGACCGUCGGAUAAAGGCCGAAGGAAUGUGGCACCCGUUUGGGUGUGUUAUAGCCUUCGGUCGCAUACGGCGGUUGGGAUUGAGGAACGCAGCGCGCCGUAAGGUGGGGCUUCGGCCUACUUUCGCGCUUAGGAUGCUGGCAUAAUGGCUUUAAACGACCCGUCUUGAAACACGGACCAAGGAGUCUAACAUGCCUGCGAGUGUUUGGGUGGAAAACCCGAGCGCGUAAUGAAAGUGAAAGUUGAGACCUCUGUCGUGGAGGGCAUCGACGCCCGGACCAGACGUUUACUGACGGAUCCGCGGUAGAGC